GGACUACCCGGGUUUCUAAUCCUGUUUGCUCCCCACGCUUUCGUGCCUCAGUGUCAGUGCUGGUCCAGAGAGCCGCCUUCGCAACUGAUGUUCCUCCCGAUCUCUACGCAUUUCACUGCUACACCGGGAAUUCCACUCUCCUCUACCGCACUCUAGCGAGCCAGUAUCCAUCGCCAUUCCCAGGUUGAGCCCGGGGCUUUCACGACAGACUUAACUCACCACCUACGCACGCUUUACGCCCAGUAAUUCCGAGUAACGCUUGCACCCUUCGUAUUACCGCGGCUGCUGGCAC
rnacentral:rRNA from 1 species